CUACUUAUGUGACUGCAGAGAGGAUGACAGACUAGUGGACACACAGUUUAACAUGAUGGACUUGAGGACACCAUUGUUGAUUCUGACCAUUUUGUGGGCAGGUGUUGAUGGUCAGACUCUGACUCAAUCUGAAUCAGUCAUUAAAAGACCUGGAGAAUCCCACAAACUGACCUGUACAGGAUCUGGAUUCACAUUCAGCAGCUACUGGAUGAACUGGAUCAGACAGACUCCUGGUAAAGGACUGGAGUGGAUCGCAUGGAUAGAUAGCGGCAGUGGUAGCAGCAAAUAUUACUCUCAGUCAGUUCAAGGCAGGUUCACCAUCUCCAGAGACAACAACGUACAGCAGCUGUAUCUUCAGAUGAACAGUUUGAAGACUGAAGAUUCUGCUGUUUAUUAUUGUGCUCGAGACCACUGUGACGAUGCUUUUGACUACUGGGGAAAAGGAACAACGGUUACAGUUACAUCAGCCACUUCAACAAAGCCAACCGUGUUUCCUCUGAUACAAUGUGGUGCCGAAGAUGCAGAAAUGAUCACACUUGGCUGCCUGGCCACCGGCUUCACUCCCUCCUCACUGACUUUCUCAUGGACCAAAAACAACGCAGCCUUGACCAACUUCAUCCAGUAUCCUCCAGUGCAGAAAAACAACUUGUACUCGGAAGUCAGUCAAAUCCAAGUGAGAAGACAGGACUGGAACCAAAGUGAAAUGGUCAAAUGCAUGGUGACUCAUGCUGCUGGGAAUGCAGAGGCUCCUAUCGUGAAGCCAAAACCGGUGGUUUAUCAGCUGCCAACUAUAAAAGUGUGUUCCUCUGAUGAGGGAGAGGAAGUUUCCUUCUCCUGCAUUGCCAAAGAUUUUUCACCAAAAAGUUAUGAGAUCAAAUGGUUGAAAAACGGAAAUGAAGUCACUGGCCAAAAAGACGAGAUCACAGCACCUUUUGGAGAAAGAAAAGACAGCAAUGGUAACACCUUGUACAGUGCGUCAAGUUUUCUCUCAGUACAGACCACAGAGUGGAGUGAUGGAACAACAUUCACAUGUGUGUUUAAGGGGAAAGGGGAAAACAAUGUUGAAGUAUUCAAGAAUGCUUCUGUGACCUACAAAUAUACACAAACGGGACCUGAAGGAUGUAGGGAAGCAGAUGUGGAUGUAAAUAUCUUACACCCCACAGUCGAGGACAUGUUUCUCAAAAGAAAAGGAACUAUAACAUGUCAAGUCCAGAUAAACAGGGGAAGAGUUGAGAAAAUAUUGUGGCAGGAUGAGAAUAAAACUGACAUGGCUGGUGCAUUUAAGGUCCCACCUAAAGGAAAGAAAGGCACAUUCAACCUUGAACUUGAAAUCACAUAUGAUGAAUGGGCCGAAGGGAAAAAGCGCUACUGCGUUGUUGAAAGUGAAGACUUUUUUGACCCCCUGACAAAACUCUAUCAGAGGAAUAUUGGAGCAAAACCUCAGCGUCCUUCAGUGUUUAUGCUGCCUCCUGUAGAACAAACUAGAAAAGAAAAGGUGACCCUGACUUGCUAUGUGAAAGACUUCUACCCUCAGGACGUUUUUGUGUCUUGGCUUGUUGAUGACGAGGAAGCAAACUCAGAUUUUGAGUUCAAUACCACAAGCUCAGUAGAAAGCAACGGAUCCUAUUCUGCUUAUGGCCACUUAACCCUCACCCUCGAGCAGUGGGCAAAGCCUGAUGCGGUGUAUAGCUGUGUAGUUUACCACGAAUCCCUGGGCAACACAACCAAAACCAUCGUCAGGUCCAUUGGAUACAGAACAGGUGACAAAACCAACCUGGUCAACCUCAACAUGAACGUCCCCGAAACGUGCAAGGCCCAGUAGAUGUUAUGUCAUGUCGCAGUGUCUCCUGUUCUUUGUUGUUUACUGUUUGUUGUUUGUGAUAUGAUGUUGUGUUUGUGUGUUUUUUAAUGCAGAUUCAAAAUCAAAAUAAAAAAAAACUUUGCAACUC